UCCGCUUUAUUACAUAUGGACGGCGUGAUUGCCGUCUCUCUGUGCCGUGCUGGAGAGGCCCUGAAUUCGCCGAGUCUCCAACGACUCUAACUCUCUGGUCUCCUCCAUCUCCUGCCUCUCCUGUUUCGUCGCCCUCCUCCCCUUUCUUCUCCUCUCGUCUCCCCUCCUUUCUCGUAAUCUUCUCUCUUCGUUUCUCCUAUUACACGCUGAGGGACUCGCUUGGGAUCUUGCUAUGCCCUAACUCUUUCCUCGGUCACACGCUGCUGCCUCCGCCCUCCCUUUUCUUCGUUGGGAUAUGCAUUAGGGGUUUUGCUUGCACUACUCCCACUCUCUUCCCUCGGUCGCCCGCUGCUGCCUCCGCCUUCCCUCUUCCUCGUUGUACACCGUAGCCGUCAAAGAACUGCGAAGGGGUGGUAUUACUCUCUCUCUCUCUCUCUCUCUCUCUCUCUCUCUCUCUCUCUCUCUCUCUCUCUCUCCAUGAUCGAGCUUCGUUUCUGUUUCUCUAUUCCUAUUUCCACGGCACCCUCAUAAAAUCAUCUUUUAAUUCUUUUUUUUUGUUAAUGUAUGUUUUCUACUUUUGAUUUUUCACGAUUGUCAAAUGGUUGUUAGUUUUUUGUUGUUGAUGAUCCUUGAUUGAUAUCAAUUGUGUUCAAUAGUCACUAAUAAAUUGAUGUUAAAGAAACUUUGAUCUUAAUUCUCUAUUUCUCUGUUCAGUGCCAUGUUGGGAGAAAUCAAUGAAUUUGAUGCAUAUGGAUUUUGAUGAAUGUACUAGAAAGCCAUAUUUUUUUUCGUUUCCUGCAAUUGGAUUGGUUUCAGUGCUUCUGAACAUAUUGUCUCCAGAAUGUUUAUAAUUGAUUAAUUGCACUACUUUCCGUCUUAAAUGAGACAAUGCUUUGACUGUAUCUGAACCUGGAGGUUGUAGACGAAGUAAAGCAGCAUGGUGCAAUUUAAAAAUAGAUAUAUGGUGAUGGAAAUUUUUAUUGAUGGAGAAAGAGAAUUGGUUGGUGGUGACCCAAAAAAGAUUCUUAGCUCAAACAAUGUCUCCAGAGCAAUUCAGGAUAGCAUUCGGUUGAAUUUUGGGGAGUGUGGUCUCGCCCUAUCACUUGGAUCAUUUCAAGUGAAACAUCUCAAUGCCAUGACAAAGAUAUGCAUCAUCCGAACAUCUCAUGUGGAUCACCAAAAAGUUUGGUCUGCUAUAACAAUGAUAAGGAGCAUUGGGAAUUGCCCAGCUAUGUUUAAUUUACUUGACUUGAGCGGAACACAAAGAUAACAGGAUCCGACGAUGGGAUGAAAAUGAUGAGACCUUAUAAAUAGGAAUGAGGCCCUCGUGAUAGGAUGAAUGACUACAAGAUAGAGAUGAUGGGAGCCUCAUGGCAAAAGCGACCGAUGCAACAGACAAUUGGUGGUGGAAGGCGUAUUUAGGAUACUAAGGAAAAAAGAGAACAAAGAACAAAGAACAGAGAUACGCAUAUACCUGACUUUUGGCGAGAUCUAUAAGCGCUGAGGGGGGAAAUUGGGUGUUGCCACACGUAACAAUUCCAUUGACAUUACUGAGAUGCCGACCAUAAACGACUAGAAGAAAAGAGAGAGCUGUGACGGCCUGCAAGUUGGCCAUCGACGCCUUGUGUAUGAGACCGCCUACACACUUGCAUGGGAACAUUUGGUUUGGGGGAGACAUGCAGACCUGGAGUGUAUUCGGUGGAGAUGUAGGGAGACUGUGGCAGCAGUGAACAUGCAAAGUUCUGGGCGUAUCUACUGUAGUCGUCAUCAGUCUGCAACAAAAGAUUUAAUUGUUGUAGUGUCCCCAAAAAAAUAUAAAAUAAUUAUUCUCUCUUCA